rnacentral:rRNA from 1 species
ACGCUGGCGGCAGGCCUAACACAUGCAAGUCGAGCGGUAGAGAGGAGCUUGCUUCUCUUGAGAGCGGCGGACGGGUGAGUAAUGCCUAGGAAUCUGCCUGGUAGUGGGGGAUAACGUUCGGAAACGGACGCUAAUACCGCAUACGUCCUACGGGAGAAAGCAGGGGACCUUCGGGCCUUGCGCUAUCAGAUGAGCCUAGGUCGGAUUAGCUAGUUGGUGGGGUAACGGCUCACCAAGGCGACGAUCCGUAACUGGUCUGAGAGGAUGAUCAGUCACACUGGAACUGAGACACGGUCCAGACUCCUACGGGAGGCAGCAGUGGGGAAUAUUGGACAAUGGGCGAAAGCCUGAUCCAGCCAUGCCGCGUGUGUGAAGAAGGUCUUCGGAUUGUAAAGCACUUUAAGUUGGGAGGAAGGGUUGUAGAUUAAUACUCUGCAAUUUUGACGUUACCGACAGAAUAAGCACCGGCUAACUCUGUGCCAGCAGCCGCGGUAAUACAGAGGGUGCAAGCGUUAAUCGGAAUUACUGGGCGUAAAGCGCGCGUAGGUGGUUAGUUAAGUUGGAUGUGAAAUCUCCGGGCUCAACCUGGGAACUGCAUUCAAAACUGACUGACUAGAGUAUGGUAGAGGGUGGUGGAAUUUCCUGUGUAGCGGUGAAAUGCGUAGAUAUAGGAAGGAACACCAGUGGCGAAGGCGACCACCUGGACUGAUACUGACACUGAGGUGCGAAAGCGUGGGGAGCAAAC